AUUGAACGCUGGCGGCAGGCCUAACACAUGCAAGUCGAACGAGUGGCGGACGGGUGAGUAAUGUCUGGGAAACUGCCUGAUGGAGGGGGAUAACUACUGGAAACGGUAGAUAAUACCGCAUAACAUAGGAUGUGCCCAGAUGGGAUUAGCUAGUAGGUGGGGUAACGGCUCACCUAGGCUCCGAUCCCUAGCUGGUCUGAGCGGCUGACCGGCCACACUGGACCUGAGACACGGUCCAGACUCCUACGGGAGGCAGCAGUGGGGAAUAUUGCACAAGGGGCGCAAGCCUUAUACAGCCAUGCCGCGUGUAUGAAGAAGGCCUUCGGGUUGUAAAGUACUUUCAGCGGGGAGGCGUUACCCGCAGAAGAAGCACCGGCUAACUCCGUGCCAGCCGCCGCGGUAAUUC
rnacentral:rRNA from 1 species